rnacentral:rRNA from 1 species
UACGUAGGGUGCAAGCGUUGUCCGGAAUUAUUGGGCGUAAAGAGCUCGUAGGCGGUCUGUCGCGUCUGCUGUGAAAACUCGGGGCUUAACCCCGGGCCUGCAGUGGGUACGGGCAGACUAGAGUGCGGUAGGGGAGACUGGAAUUCCUGGUGUAGCGGUGAAAUGCGCAGAUAUCAGGAGGAACACCGGUGGCGAAGGCGGGUCUCUGGGCCGUAACUGACGCUGAGGAGCGAGAGCAUGGGGAGCAAAAGGG